rnacentral:misc_RNA from 1 species
GAUGAAGAACGUAGCGAAAUGCGAUACUUGGUGUGAAUUGCAGAAUCCCGUGAACCAUCGAGUCUUUGAACGCAAGUUGCGCCCGAAGCCAUUAGGCCGAGGGCACGCCUGCCUGGGCGUCACACGUCGUUGCCCCCCCAUCUACUCCUUCGGGAUUGCGGGGGGCGGAUGAUGGCCUCUCGUGCGCCUCGUCGCGCGGUUGGCCUAAAUGCCAAGUCCUCGGCGACGCACGCCACGACAAUCGGUGGUUGCGAAACCUCGGUUGCCUGUCGUGUGCGGUCGUCGCGCAUCGAGGGCUCGAAAAAAUUGCCGGGCUUCGGCUCGACUUUCAACGCGACCCCCGGUCAGGCGGGGUUACCCGCUGAAUUUAAGCAUAUCAAUAAGCGGAGGA